UUACUAGACCUAGAUCUAAAUUUCAUCAAUAAGAGUCUAGUCUAGACAGGUCUAAUAGAAAUUGAAAGGAAAUGGACAGAAGCUUCCUUUUUUUGACAUACAUUUGUUGAUAAUGUUACAGUAGUUUAGUCUAAUAAUACUAUUAGUAAGCUACAGAGAAAGAGAAAUUAUAAUAUCUUAUCAAAUAUCAACAUAUUUUUCAUCUUGAUUUUCUGCUAUUUCAGGUUCUUUUCAAUUGAUGCAUGGGGAUGAAAAAAGAAGGCCUCUCCCAAGCUACGGUGUCCCGCCUUGUGAAGUCCAUCUCAAUAGCCAUUGCCAGGAGAUGGGAGCAAUACUUCUCAAUUCCUUCAACAAGAGAGGCAGUCCUGCAGAGUGCAGACCCAACAUGAAUUGUAUAAUUACUGCCAUUUCCCUGGCGUUAAUAUGGUCGGUGCUAUUGAUUGCACCCACAUAGGCGUCUCCAAGCCAGUUGGCCAAACACCAGUUAUUUCCUGAACAGGAAAAAAAGAUACUCCAUUUUUCUUGGAAAGUCUGCUGGAUGAUGUUUUUCUUCAGUAAAAUAAAUGAAUUCAAAUUCCCUGAUAACUGAGACAAAUUCAGAGAGAGGAAGGAGAACUACUGAGCUGCUGAAUAUCUGACAGACAUACUUGCAAGGACUAUGAAGUUCUACUUAGCCUCUUCAAUGAACCAGACUCCAUCUGCUGUAACUGUGACUGCAUGGGGAUCAAAACCUUUGUAUUAUAAUCCUCAUAACAUGAAGCUAUGGUAACAAACAAGCAACCAUUGAUAAAAAGCCUGAUAUGUCCUUGUUGUGUAUGUGAACCACAAAGCAACCAUCACUCAUAAGGAUGUUUUUAUGUACAUCAGAUGUUCAUUGUUUCACUGGAAAAAUUGUGAUUUAGAAUCAUUUAAGAAAUCAUGUUUCAUGAUGUGUUUUAUAAUAUAGUGCAAGUCAUGAAACAUGGCUCAAAAGUAGACUAUGCUUUGUUUUAAAAAAAUGGGAAAAAGUAAUGUAACAAAUACAUAACAUUUAAUUCUAAUAGUUUCAAGUAGCAGAUUAUGAGGCUAUUGGAGCUUAAUAUUUGACCUUCAAUUUUAUAAUCGUAUUCAUUGUGAAUUACAAUCUUUUC
rnacentral:lncRNA from 1 species